rnacentral:rRNA from 1 species
CAAUAGCGUAUAUUAAAGUUGUUGCAGUUAGAACGCUCGUAGUCGGAUUUCGGGGCGGGCCGACCGGUCUGCCGAUGGGUAUGCACUGGUCGGCGCGUCCUUCCUUCCGGAGACCGUCCCUACUCUUAACUGAGCGGGGGCGGGAGACGGGACUUUUACUUUGAAAAAAUCAGAGUGUUUCAAGCAGGCAGCCCGCUCUUGCAUGGAUUAGCAUGGGAUAAUGAAAUAGGACUUUGGUGCUAUUUUGUUGGUUUCGAACACCGAAGUAAUGAUGAGAAGGGACAGUCAGGGGCACUCGUAUUCCGCCGAGAGAGGUGAAAUUCUCAGACCAGCGGAAGACGAACCACUGCGAAAGCAUUUGCCAGGGAUGUUUUCACUGA